UUGCAUUAAGUAUUUUCUCUUCUGUGACUUAGGGAGACAUGCCCAUUGCAUCUUUCCUGGGAGUUCAUUAUUUCCGAAGCCUGAUCUGUGUAAAUAUCAAAUCACUUACAAGACAUGGCAGGCCUUCCUGGUGAUGAAAUCUGCAACGACUUCAUCUUUCCCGUAAUCACCCAAAUGAAUCCUGAAGUGUGGGCCUUCAGCUGCUGGAAAAUAGGAAACAGAGUCAGGCGCCUCUUGAGGCACAGUUCUGCAAUCCCAGGCAACCACCUCACGCACCCUACGCGACUUUUUGGUGAGCCUGCACAUCUGACCCUGUGGAGAUGCGUGGUGGAGAGUAGCCCUGCAUCACCCAGACAUAAUGGCUCAUUGGCAGCCACAGAGUGAGUGGGAAGAAAUACAUCCCAUCACAGGAAGAUGGUGACUUUUGCACUGAAAGGAGAGGAAAGGAGAGAUGAAUAAAGACGAAAACAAUGAAAGAAAAGGACCUCCAACUCAGGAUUGGAAAGGGUAAAAGGAUCAUUAUGGAUUGCUUACAAUUAGAGCUCUAUUUCAUGCAUGCAUAAUCCCAGGUAUAUUACAGCCCCCAAAUCAUAUUUUAUGAAGAGACAAGCUCAGUGACUGAUUCUUUGCCAUGCACUUAAUGAGCUGAUGCAUAUGCCCAAACUCACCCAAGUCAUCAGAUGGCAAAUGUUUUAUUCAGCCUGAAACAUUAAA